GGAGCUGGACCAACCAAAAGUAGGGCUUCAGCACCAAGGCCAAGGCCCUCACAGCCCUCUAGGGUCUGGCUGCUUGGGCGCCACCUAGUGGCGGGAGUGUGUGCGGCGGGACAGGGCAAGAAGGGCGGUUCCCUCGCACUUCUGAAGAUCUAGGGUGGGCUCAGCAAGCUAGAAAAGACACAACCCAGUGGGACCUGUGUCUAAUUCCCAGUGAGACCUUGAGCAAGCCAUGUCUUUCUGUUUCUGUUUUCUCAUUGGUAAGGGGAGAGAGUUCAUCACAGUCAAGAGGUAGUAGCGCUGAAACCGGUUUGGCUCAGCGGAUAGAGCGUCAGCCUG